AUUGAACGCUGGCGGCAGGCCUAACACAUGCAAGUCGAGCGGAUGAAGGGAGCUUGCUCCUGGAGUCAGCGUCGGACGGGUGAGUAAUGACUAGGAAUCUGCCUGGUAGUGGGGGAUAACGUCCGGAAACGGGCGCUAAUACCGCAUACGUCCUGAGGGAGAAAGUGGGGGAUCUUCGGACCUCACGCUAUCAGAUGAGCCUAGGUCGGAUUAGCUAGUUGGUGGGGUAAAGGCCUACCAAGGCGACGAUCCGUAACUGGUCUGAGAGGAUGAUCAGUCACACUGGAACUGAGACACGGUCCAGACUCCUACGGGAGGCAGCAGUGGGGAAUAUUGGACAAUGGGCGAAAGCCUGAUCCAGCCAUGCCGCGUGUGUGAAGAAGGUCUUCGGAUUGUAAAGCACUUUAAGUUGGGAGGAAGGGCAGUAAGUUAAUACCUUGCUGUUUUGACGUUACCAACAGAAUAAGCACCGGCUAACUUCGUG
rnacentral:rRNA from 1 species